rnacentral:rRNA from 1 species
UAGGCGAACGGCUGAGUAACACGUGGGCAACCUGCCCCUCUCAUUGGGAUAGCCACGGGAAACCGUGGAUAAUACCGAAUACUUCGAGUCUCCCGCAUGGAAGACUCGAGAAAGCUCCGGCGGAGAGGGAUGGGCCCGCGGCCUGUUAGCUUGUUAGUGGGGUAACGGCCUACCAAGGCAAUGAUGGGUAGCUGGGUUGAGAGACCGACCAGCCAGAUUGGGACUGAGACACGGCCCAG